UGGGGAAUAUUGGACAAUGGGCGCAAGCCUGAUCCAGCCAUGCCGCGUGAGUGAUGAAGGCCUUAGGGUUGUAAAGCUCUUUCGCCGGUGAAGAUAAUGACGGUAACCGGAGAAGAAGCCCCGGCUAACUUCGUGCCAGCAGCCGCGGUAAUACGAAGGGGGCUAGCGUUGCUCGGAAUCACUGGGCGUAAAGCGCACGUAGGCGGAUCGUUAAGUCAGGGGUGAAAUCCUGGAGCUCAACUCCAGAACUGCCCUUGAUACUGGCGAUCUCGAGUUCGAGAGAGGUUGGUGGAACUCCGAGUGUAGAGGUGAAAUUCGUAGAUAUUCGGAAGAACACCAGUGGCGAAGGCGGCCAACUGGCUCGAUACUGACGCUGAGGUGCGAAAGCGUGGGGAGCAAAACAGGAUUAGAUACCCUGGUAGUCCACGCCGUAAAACGAUGGAUGCUAGCCGUUGGGGGGUUUACCUCUCAGUGGCGCAGCUAACGCCUUAAGCAUCCCGCCUGGGGAGUACGGUCGCAAGAUUAAAAACUCAAAGGAAUUGACGGGGUCAUAGCUGUUUCC
rnacentral:rRNA from 1 species